UACGUAGGGCGCGAGCGUUGUCCGGAAUUAUUGGGCGUAAAGAGCUCGUAGGCGGCUUGUCACGUCGGGUGUGAAAGACCGGGGCUUAACUCCGGUUCUGCAUUCGAUACGGGCUAGCUAGAGUGUGGUAGGGGAGAUCGGAAUUCCUGGUGUAGCGGUGGAAUGCGCAGAUAUCAGGAGGAACACCGAUGGCGAAGGCAGAUCUCUGGGCCGUAACUGACGCUGAGGAGCGAAAGCAUGGGGAGCGAACAGG
rnacentral:rRNA from 1 species